CGUUUCAACUUAGUGGGCCUCAUUAAGGUGGGCGCUCUAAGGGGGCGGCCGGAGCCAAACCGGAGGAAGGUGGGGAAGAGGUCAAAUCAUCAUACCCCUUUUGACCAGGGGUACUCACGGGAUUCAAAAAUCGGUCCAAAAAUUUGAAAGACCCCGAGGUGGAGCUAAUCUCAUAAAACCGUUAUCAGUUCGGAUUGUAGGGUGCAACUCGCCUACAUGAAGCUGGAAUCGCUAGUAAUCGCGGAUCAGCAUGCCGCGGUGAAUACGUUCCCGGGCCUUGUACACACCGCCCGUCCCCCCACGAGAGUUUGUAACACCCGAAGUCGGUGGGGUAACCUUUUUGGAGCCAGCCGCCUAAGGUGGGACAGAUGAUUGGGGUGAAGUCGUAACAAGGUUNCNCGU
rnacentral:rRNA from 1 species